rnacentral:misc_RNA from 1 species
GAUGAAGAACGCAGCGAAAUGCGAUACGUAAUGUGAAUUGCAGAAUUCAGUGAAUCAUCGAGUCUUUGAACGCACAUUGCGCCCCCUGGUAUUCCGGGGGGCAUGCCUGUCCGAGCGUCAUUGCUGCCCUCAAGCACGGCUUGUGUGUUGGGCCUCCGUCCUCCUCCCGGGGGACGGGCCCGAAAGGCAGCGGCGGCACCGCGUCCGGUCCUCGAGCGUAUGGGGCUUCGUCACCCGCUCUUGUAGGCCCGGCCGGCGCUUGCCGACACAUCAAUCUUUUUUCCAGGUUGACCUCGGAUCAGGUAGGGAGACCCGCUGAACUUAAGCAUAUCAAUAAGCGGAGGA